rnacentral:rRNA from 1 species
AGUUAAGAUUUGUAUAUUAGGAGUUUUAAUUUAAUAGUAGAAAUAACUUUAUUAAUUAAGAAUAAGUAUUUUGUAAAGAAAAUUUUAUUUAUAAUAAACUGUAUAGGUUAAAUGAAAAAAUAAAAAGUAGUUUAUUUAAAAGUAGGAUUUUACUGUACCUUUUGUAUCAGGGUUUAUUAAUAGGUAAUAUUUAAUAAUAUAAUCCCGAGUAAAAGAGAGUUAAAUAUUUAUAAAGUAUAGAGUAGCAUAUUUAUCUUAAAUAUAUAUUUAGUAAUGAUAUGUUAAUCGUUCUUUUAUAUAUCUGGUUUUUUAAGAUAUGAAUUCAAUUCAGAGUUUUAUAUAAAUAUAAUUAAUAUGUAUAAAUUUAAUGUAAAAUUUAAAUAAAUAAGGGAUAAGCUUUAUUUAUAUAUAAGUAUUGAAAAGUAAUAUUAGUUGUGUAGGCUUAAAAUUUGCCAUCUUAAAAUUGUAAUAAAUUGUCUAUGUAGUUAAUGAUUUUAAGACAAUCUUUUAAUUUAUUAAAAAAUAUAAAAUAAUAGUAUUUUUAUAAAUAUAAUGGUAAAAUUAAUAUUAAAUAAGGAAAUUUAAAUAAGGAAUUCGGCAAAAUUAUAUUCGUCUGUUUAUCAAAAACAUAGCUUUAUUGAUUUUAUAUAAGGUAUAACCUGCCCACUGAUAAAUUGAAGGGCCGCGGUAUUUUGACCGUGCAAAGGUAGCAUAAUCAUUAGUCUCUUAAUUAGAGGCUGGCAUGAAGGGUUGCACGUAAUAUAAGCUGUCUCAUUUAAAUAAUAAAAAUUUAAUUUUUAAGUGAAAAAGCUUAAAUUUAGUUAGAGGACGAGAAGACCCUAUAGAGUUUUAUAAAUAAAAUAUAUAAAAUAAAAGUAAAGGAUAGUUUGUAUAUAAUUAUUUAUUUUGUUGGGGUGACAUGAAAAUAAAUUAACUUUUCUUUAAGUUAAACAUAAAUUAAUGAAUUUAAGAUCCAUUAUAAUGAUUAUAAGAUUAAAUUACCUUAGGGAUAACAGCGUGAUCUUUUUUGAGAGUUCUAAUCGACAAAAGGGGUUGCGACCUCGAUGUUGGACUAAGAAUAAUUUUAGGUGUAGAAGCUUAAAUAUUAAGUCUGUUCGACUUUUAAAUUCUUACAUGAUCUGAGUUCAAACCGGUGUGAGCCAGGUUGGUUUCUAUCCUUAAUUAUAUAAAAUAUUUUAGUACGAAAGGACCAAAUAUUAAAAGUAAACUUUUAAGUAAUGAAUAUUAUU